UACGGAGGGAGCUAGCGUUAUUCGGAAUUACUGGGCGUAAAGCGCACGUAGGCGGCUUGAUAAGUAAGAGGUGAAAGCCUGGAGCUCAACUCCAGAACUGCCUUUUAGACUGUCUCGCUUGAAUCCAGGAGAGGUGAGUGGAAUUCCGAGUGUAGAGGUGAAAUUCGUAGAUAUUCGGAAGAACACCAGUGGCGAAGGCGGCUCACUGGACCGGGAUUGACACUGAGGCGCGAAAGCCAGGGGAGCAAACGGG
rnacentral:rRNA from 1 species